GACGAACGCUGGCGGCGUGCUUAACACAUGCAAGUCGAACGAUGAACCCGGAGCUUGCUCCGGUGGAUUAGUGGCGAACGGGUGAGUAACACGUGAGUAACCUGCCCUUGACUCUGGGAUAACUGCGGGAAACUGUAGCUAGUACCGGAUACGACCCUCGGCGGCAUCGCCAGGGGGUGGAAAGAAUUUCGGUCAAGGAUGGACUCGCGGCCUAUCAGCUAGUUGGUGAAGUAACGGCUCACCAAGGCGACGAACGGUAGCCGGCCUGAGAGGGUGACCGGCCACACUGGGACUGAGAGACGGCCCAGACUCCUACGGGAGGUAGCAGUGGGGAAUAUUGCACAAUGGGCGCAAGCCUGAUGCAGCAACGCCGAGUGAGGGAUGACGGCCUUCGGGUUGUAGACCUCUUUUAGUAGGGAAGAAGCGAAAGUGACGGUACCUGCAGAAAAAGCACCGGCUAACUACGUGCCAGCCGCCGCCGUAA
rnacentral:rRNA from 1 species